rnacentral:rRNA from 1 species
GACACGGCCCAGACUCCUACGGGAGGCAGCAGUGGGGAAUAUUGGACAAUGGGCGAAAGCCUGAUCCAGCCAUGCCGCGUGUGUGAAGAAGGCCUUUUGGUUGUAAAGCACUUUAAGCGAGGAGGAGGCUACCGAGAUUAAUACUCUUGGAUAGUGGACGUUACUCGCAGAAUAAGCACCGGCUAACUCUGUGCCAGCAGCCGCGGUAAUACAGAGGGUGCGAGCGUUAAUCGGAUUUACUGGGCGUAAAGCGUGCGUAGGCGGCUUUUUAAGUCGGAUGUGAAAUCCCUGAGCUUAACUUAGGAAUUGCAUUCGAUACUGGGAAGCUAGAGUAUGGGAGAGGAUGGUAGAAUUCCAGGUGUAGCGGUGAAAUGCGUAGAGAUCUGGAGGAAUACCGAUGGCGAAGGCAGCCAUCUGGCCUAAUACUGACGCUGAGGUACGAAAGCAUGGGGAGCAAACAGGAUUAGAUACCCUGGUAGUCCAUGCCGUAAACGAUGUCUACUAGCCGUU